rnacentral:rRNA from 1 species
GCGAGCCUGAUCCAGCCAUGCCGCGUGUGUGAAGAAGGUCUUCGGAUUGUAAAGCACUUUAAGUUGGGAGGAAGGGUUGUAGCCUAAUACGCUGCAACUUUGACGUUACCGACAGAAUAAGCACCGGCUAACUCUGUGCCAGCAGCCGCGGUAAUACAGAGGGUGCAAGCGUUAAUCGGAAUUACUGGGCGUAAAGCGCGCGUAGGUGGCAAAGUAAGAUGGGUGUGAAAUCCCCGGGCUCAACCUGGGAACUGCAUCCAUAACUGCUUCGCUAGAGUACGGUAGAGGGUAGUGGAAUUUCCUGUGUAGCGGUGAAAUGCGUAGAUAUAGGAAGGAACACCAGUGGCGAAGGCGACUACCUGGACUGAUACUGACACUGAGGUGCGAAAGCGUGGGGAGCAAACAGGAUUAGAUACCCUGGUAGUCCACGCCGUAAACGAUGUCAACUAGCCGUUGGAAUCCUUGAGAUUUUAGUGGCGCAGCUAACGCACUAAGUUGACCGCCUGGGGAGUACGGUCGCAAGAUUAAAACUCAAAUG